rnacentral:rRNA from 1 species
CUACGGGGGGCUGCAGUGGGGAAUAUUGGACAAUGGGGGAAACCCUGAUCCAGCAAUGCCGCGUGUGUGAAGAAGGCCUGCGGGUUGUAAAGCACUUUCGGUUGGGAGGACUGCUUCUAGCACUAAUAUUGUUGGAAGUUGACGUUACCUUCAGAAGAAGCACCGGCUAACUCCGUGCCAGCAGCCGCGGUAAUACGGAGGGUGCAAGCUUUAAUCGGAAUUACUGGGCGUAAAGCGCGCGUAGGCGGCUAGAUCAGUCGGGUGUGAAAGCCCCGGGCUUAACCUGGGAACUGCCUCCGAUACUGUCUAGCUUGAGUACAGGAGAGGAGAGUGGAAUUCCACAUGUAGCGGUGAAAUGCGUAGAUAUGUGGAGGAACACCAAUGGCGAAGGCAGCUCUCUGGCCUGAUACUGACGCUGAGGUGCGAAAGCGUGGGGAGCAAACAGGAUUAGAUACCCUCGUAGUC